rnacentral:rRNA from 1 species
GGAGAGGGAGCGUGAGAAACGGCUACCACAUCCAAGGAAGGCAGCAGGCGCGCAAAUUACCCAAUCUAGACAGUAGGAGGUGGUGAAGAGAAGUACUGAGUGGUGGCCAAAUGGUUACCAACUUGGAAUGAACGUAAUUUAAGUAAUUCGAUGAGUAACUACUGGAGGGCAAGUCCUGGUGCCAGCAGCCGCGGUAAUUCCAGCUCCAGUGGCGUGAUUUAAAGUUGCUGCGUUUAAAACGCUCGUAGUUGGAUCAUGCAGUCGUAUUCAGUAAUCUAGGUUGGCAUAUGCGACGAUUUUCCCGAAUGGGAUUAUUGAAGCUUUGCCAUUUUAGAUGUUAACGCUGAAUGCGGCUAUUUGCACACAAGUAUGGUAUUUGACCUUAAAUGAGCCGAGUAUCAUGUCUUGUGGAGUGUGCCUUGAAUAAAACAGAGUGCUCAAAGCAGGCGAACGCUUGAAUGUUAUAGCAUGGAACGAACAAACGUGUAUUUGUGUACGUUAAGUAAUGGCUGAGGGCAACCUUAGCUAUUGCUGGCGUAUGCAGCACCCACCAAAACACGGAUGUUGGUUUUCGUAUAAGGUGAUGAUUAACAGGAGCGGUUGGGGGCAUUGGUAUUUGGCCGCGAGAGGUGAAAUUCUUGGACCGGCCAAGGACUAACAGAUGCGAAGGCGUUUGUCUAGACCGUUUCCAUUAAUCAAGAACGAAAGUGGGAGGUUCGAAGACGAUCAGAUACCGUCGUAGUUCCCACUAUAAACUAUGCCGACCUGGGAUCAGUUUAGUGAUUUACAAGCUCUAGGUUGGUCCCCCUGGGAAACCUCAAGUUUUUCGGUUACGGGGAGAGUAUGGUCGCAAGUCUGAAACUUAAAGGAAUUGACGGAAGGGCACCACCAGGGGUGGAGCCUGCGGCUUAAUUUGACUCAACACGGGGAAACUUACCUGGUCCGGACAUCGAGAGGAUAUACAGACUGAUAGAUCUUUAUUGAUGCGGUGAGUGGUGGUGCAUGGCCGUUCUUAGUUCGUGGAGUAAUCUGUCAGCUUUAUUGCGGUAACGAACGAGACCACCUUCUCCAUUUAAGAAGCAGUAGUAGGAGGUUGGCAGAGUGCUGUUUCGGCAGUAUUCUGUUAGCUUUCGCAGGUAGGAUUGUAGAAUUUUGUGAUUCAUGUGGGUGGCAACAUUCGCAUGGGUCAUAAAAGGAUAUGAUUUUCCCCACGGUUAUACAGCGUAGGGUAAUAC